UGGGGAAUUUUGGACAAUGGGCGAAAGCCUGAUCCAGCAAUGCCGCGUGUGUGAAGAAGGCCUUCGGGUUGUAAAGCACUUUUGUCCGGAAAGAAAUCCUUGGCUCUAAUACAGUCGGGGGAUGACGGUACCGGAAGAAUAAGCACCGGCUAACUACGUGCCAGCAGCCGCGGUAAUACGUAGGGUGCAAGCGUUAAUCGGAAUUACUGGGCGUAAAGCGUGCGCAGGCGGUUUGCUAAGACCGAUGUGAAAUCCCCGGGCUCAACCUGGGAACUGCAUUGGUGACUGGCAGGCUAGAGUAUGGCAGAGGAGGGUAGAAUUCCACGUGUAGCAGUGAAAUGCGUAGAGAUGUGGAGGAAUACCGAUGGCGAAGGCAGCCCCCUGGGCCAAUACUGACGCUCAUGCACGAAAGCGUGGGGAGCAAACAGGAUUAGAUACCCUGGUAGUCCACGCCCUAAACGAUGUCAACUAGUUGUUGGGGACUUCAAUUUCCUAAUAACGUAGCUAACGCGUGAAGUUG
rnacentral:rRNA from 1 species